rnacentral:rRNA from 1 species
CCAGACUCCUACGGGAGGCAGCAGUGGGGGAUAUUGCACAAUGGGGGGAACCCUGAUGCAGCGACGCCGCGUGGGUGAGGAAGUACCCCGGUAUGUAAAGCCCUUUCGGCAGGGAAGAAAAUGACGGUACCUGGCGAAGAAGCCCCGGCUAAAUACGUGCCAGCAGCCGCGGUAAUACGUAUGGGGCAAGCGUUAUCCGGAUUUACUGGGUGUAAAGGGAGCGUAGGCGGCAGGGCAAGCCUGAUGUGAAAGCCCGGGGCUCACCCCCGGGACUGCAUUGGGAACUGCCCCGCUCGAGUGCCGGAGGGGCAGGCGGAAUUCCUAGUGUAGCGGUGAAAUGCGUAGAUAUUAGGAGGAACACCAGUGGCGAAGGCGGCCUGCUGGACGGUGUACUGACGCUGAGGCUCGAAAGCGUGGGGAGCAAACAGGAUUAGAUACCCGCGUAC